UACGGAGGGGGCUAGCGUUGUUCGGAAUUACUGGGCGUAAAGCGCACGUAGGCGGAUCAGUAAGUUAGAGGUGAAAGCCCAGGGCUCAACCCUGGAACUGCCUUUGAUACUGCUAGUCUAGAGGUCGAGAGAGGUGAGUGGAAUUCCGAGUGUAGAGGUGAAAUUCGUAGAUAUUCGGAGGAACACCAGUGGCGAAGGCGGCUCACUGGCUCGGUACUGACGCUGAGGUGCGAAAGCGUGGGGAGCAAACAGGAUGAGAUACCCUGGUAGUCCACGCCGUAAACUAUGAGAGCUAGACGUCGGGCGGCUUGCCGUUCGGUGUCGCAGCUAACGCAUUAAGCUCUCCGCCUGGGGAGUACGGCCGCAAGGUUAAA
rnacentral:rRNA from 1 species